GUCUCCUUUUACGCCAAACUGAUUUGGCUGAACUAUGUUGUUGUUUUUGGAACUUGUAUGUGUUUGUUUUAAAACCUAAAACGGAUGAACUUGUAUGUGUGUGUGUUUUAAAACCUAAAACUUGUAUGUGUGUGUGUUUUAAAACCUAAAACUUGUAUGUGUGUGUGUUUUAAAACCUAAAACUUGUAUGUGUGUGUGUUUUAAAACCUAAAACUUGUAUGUGUGUGUGUUUUAAAACCUAAAUCCAAACUUGGUGGUUGAACAGGUUGCAAUUACAGGUGGGAAGUAAAACAACAUUACAGCAUCAACUAUGCCAAAAAAUAUGAAAGUAGUAUAACUAGAAAAACUAGUACACCUAGUGUUAAAUUAAAAAGUGUAGGACUUAUCUGGGAAUCCACUUAUUUGAAACUCAUUAUGCA
rnacentral:lncRNA from 1 species